rnacentral:hammerhead_ribozyme from 1 species
GUCCAGUUGACGAGUUCCAAAUAGGACGAAACAUGAGUCCUGUAU